rnacentral:sRNA from 13 species
GUGCCCUGAACACCUGCUAGCCUCGUCACACCUUGCUGAGGAAGCCGGUGUGAAUCCGGCGCAGUCGCGCUACUGUGACGCCGCUUGCGGCGAAGCCAGACCCUCCAGCCGGGCGAACAUCCGU